AAAUUGAAGAGUUUGAUCAUGGCUCAGAUUGAACGCUGGCGGCAGGCCUAACACAUGCAAGUCGAACGGUAACAGGAAGCAGCUUGCUGCUUCGCUGACGAGUGGCGGACGGGUGAGUAAUGUCUGGGAAACUGCCUGAUGGAGGGGGAUAACUACUGGAAACGGUAGCUAAUACCGCAUAACGUCGCAAGACCAAAGAGGGGGACCUUCGGGCCUCUUGCCAUCGG
rnacentral:rRNA from 1 species